GAAGAGGGAGGUCAGGUCUGCAAAUGGGAAGGAGUUUGGAAGUAGGGAGAAAGUAGCGAAUGGGGAAGAGCGAUGGGAGUUUGAGGGCUUCGUUCGUGUGGAGUAACCGGAAUGGAUCAGGCUUCCUCUCCCUUUUAUUAACGCAGUUGGGAGUAGGAUCGAGGCAGUCGUCGCAGGAUUCAUGGGGAAGAGACCGAUUCGGCACUGCUGCACAGUGCCUCGGCGGAACUUCGGCAGGAUUCGCGGGAUCCAGGCAGCAGAGAAGCUGAAUAGACGGGAAUACAAACUUCAGUCGGCCAUUUCUCAUGCCCUGCAGCGAAACCAAGCACAUUAUUUUGUUUAGAAGAGUACUUGGAAGAUCCAUUUAAUGGAGACAAGCUAGGAAGUGGCGAAAAAGCUGGAGGAGAGGAAAAGGAUGGAGAAGAGGAGGAGGAAGGUGAAGAUGUCUGGAGAGUGGGAGGUAGGGUUGGCUGACCGGGAAGAGCCAUAGCAACGUAAUUGGGGAAGGAAGUUAGUAAAAAUAAGAAGGGAUUGUGAAACAGAUGGGAAUAUAUUUUGUUGUAUCAGCGUUGCUUGUUGAUGUUUUAAUUGGCAUCGUUGAUCUUAUUUUUAAGGCAGAAAACAUUGGGAAGAGGACAUGGUAUCAUUUUGAAUUUUCUUCGUACAAUAAAGAUGCUGCUCUAAGCUUAGUUUAUAAUUUA